UUCUUUUGCAUGAACAUUGGUCAAAUAUUUUAUAAUUUGAAUAAAUAUUAUAAGACAUUUGCAAUUGUUUUUAUUUUGGAUAUUGUGAUUGGUUUUAAUGAAAUAAACAGGCCGGGUUCUUUAAGGAUCUGGUCACUUUCGGUUUUAAAAAAUGUAAAUAAACUAUUGGAGAAUUGGCAGUUAUUUUUUAUUAAGCCAUUCUAUAUUAUUAAUUAAGAAUCUGUCAACCUGAAGUUUGUUAUUGUUUAUGCGCAUGUUUCUGCCACGGGCAUUGCCCGACAAAUUCAUAUUAAAUAACUUAAAAGAGCUCGACAACCAAAACCCAAUUAAUCAAAUUACAACGCCAAGUUUCCAUUUAGUGUUUUAUUGGUUAAUAAGAAAAAUGAAGGCUGGCUUAUAUAUAGGCAUUUCACAAUUGAAACUAUGAAAGUAGGCAUUUUUUUAAUCUUCUAAACAGUUAAUUGGAUGCCUACCAAUUUUAAUUGUUUAUAGAUCAUACAUUAUCACCAAGUAACUAAUACUUAAAUAACAAUUGGAAAGUUUCAAAUUUCAACAUAUCAAUGUUUUAAUGUGUAAAUUUCAGGAAACAUUUUUAUGUUCUGUAUAGUUACUUGGAUUAUAAAAUCACUCUCUGUAAAAAUUAUUCAACUUUCCAAACAUUAUUAGUCUGUAGAUUUAUUGGAAUUCCUGUUAUGAUAGGAUUUCAAUUGCUGUCAUAAAUUUUCAACUCAAUGUUUUGAUUAUUCAUUUGAAAUUAUUUUAAACUUCACAUUCCAUAAAUGGCUGUUCUUCCUUUUUGACUAAAUAUUGUGAGUAUUUUUACACAUUAGUAAGUCUGCCAAUUCAUGGGUGGUCAGUUUUGUCAUUUAUUAGUCUUUUUUCCCUUUUUUAUUUAAUCUUUUCUUCCUUUCAGUGAGAAAUAAAGCCAUAGAAUACAUUCAUACCACUCAAAUUCAGCCAGUCAGAAUGAUGGGAAGGAUUGCAGAACUGAGUUUCACUCUCACCUGACUGAUGCAGAUUCAGUAACCUAAUUGCUCAUGAUGGUUUCUGAGAAAAAAACAGCUUGGUGUAAUUUGACAGUAUUUUUCAGUAUUUGACAGUGGUUCUAUCAUGCAACAGUCAUACCAUGAAGUGUCUCACAGAUUCUCUCUCAAUUCCUGCAAUAUCCAAGAUUGCAGUGUAGUGCAAAGAGGAUUAAUUUUCUUGCAAUAAGAAGUAUCUGCACUUCCAAAUACCCCUGUACAGCAUGAACAGUUUCUUCAUUUUUUGAGUGAUUAUAGAGUGAAAAUGUUUCCAUAUAAAAUGUUUUCUUUUUAUGUGUAAAACUUGUUAUGAAUGGUUACAAAUACAUGCAUGGACAUUAUGAUUCCAAAUCUAUGCACAUUUUGAUUCCAAUAAUUAACCACAAAAGUAUUUUAAAUUUGGUUUGAAACAGAAAUAUUGUCCUUAUGUUUGUUUCUAAACAUUAUCUGGUAUUAUUCGUGUUUAUAGUUUCCAUGUCAAUUUAAAAAAAAGUCAGUUCUUUGAAAGAUGCACUCUUACUCCCACAUAAGAUUUACCACAAUUAAUACUUUUGUUUUAUUAUUCCAAAAAGGAUGAAUAAAUGUUGAAAACAAUGGUUCUAAUGAAGGAUGCCUACUUCUACUUGAAGGAAAUGUGCAUAAAAGACAGUAUUUCUACCAUUUGAGAUCAUAGUAGAUCACAAUAAAUCUUUAUGCAUUCACCAAUCAUUUAAUAUCUUUGCUUUUUCAGCUUAAAUACACGGUUACAAUAUUUUUAUCAAUACUUAAUAUUUUCCAAAAAUGAAUUAUGAAGUAAGUUGUUAAAGGGUUAACAGUCAAAGUAUAUGUUUGUUAUACAUGUGUAUGCAUUGAUACUGAAUAAGAGUGUCACUUUAAACAGUUGCCAUGGUAACUAUAGAGUCUAGUUUUCUUAAGAAACUGUAAUUGUUGUCUAAAAACCUUUGUAUUUUCAAUGUGAUACUUUUUAGCAUGUCCGCUUCAGUCAAUGAAAUAUUUCUGUUAUUUGUUAAUCAUUUGGUCAUACUUUGUAUACAAUUAUAUUUAUAAUUUAACCUUGAAAAUUGCUGACAAUCUCAUACUUAUAUUGAAAUAUUCAGAAUUGCUAGAUGGGUUGAAGUUCACCUUUAUUACAACUGUCAGGCAAAUCAUGGCAAGAUGUACAUAAUUCUCCUUUUUAACAAAAAGCGAUGUUUAAAGCAUUUUUGUAUUUUUAUUGAAUGGUUACCAUGGCAACUAAUUUUUUGUUUGCCUUUAAUCUUCCUAUUUAUAAUACUAUUAAUUGUAAAAAUGCAACAGUCAAGCAGUGAAUGGAAGAAUGUAAAUGUUCUUUGUCUUUUACCUUUUUCAAGCUCAUUCUUCAAAAUAUAAAGCAAUUUUAAAAUUUCUUAAAAAUGGACGUUUUUUCAUCAUUUUUUUAAAGUAAAAUAAUUUGCUUAAAACUUUGUUUAGGUUCUGAUAUUUAGGAAUGUGUAAUAAAUUUAUAGAAAAUAAACAAAAUGUGUUGUUUGGCAUUAUUUAUUUCAUUUAAAUUCCGAAGUUUUGAAUUUGACCUAUUUUGGCAGAAAAAUUGAUAAAAAUGUAAAAUUAAAAGGGCCAUAAUUCUGUCAAAAAUUGAUGGAUUUUGAAAAAAUGUGCAUAUUUGAG